UUAAAGUUAGUGUUAGUUUAGGGUAAGGACGUCCCAAGGAGUCUGGAUUGGAGUGACCAUUCAUAGAGUGAGAGACUGGCACGGUAUUUGAGAGCUCGGCAGCAACACAGACAUUCAUUUGUUAGUUGUUUUUUUACAAGUGGCAGAAGCGAUUUUCGAGUGUCUGCCCCAUAUAGUUUCAUUGGAGACAAUGAAAAUAAUUACCAAGAUGUACUUGAUCCAAUUGAGGAGAUGAUGAGGCAAAGAAGACUGGCAAAGGGAAGACGAAGACGAAGAAGAAGCCAGAGAGAGAACAAGCGAAGGAGGAGGAGAAAGACAGUCAGGUGCAGCAGAAGGAGGAAAUGGUGGAAAGUAAGCCAGAAGACAAUAAAAAGUCAGGGUUGGGAGGAUGGCCCCUUCCCCAGAGGACCUCUACUUCUCCUCACUGCCCUUAAUGCUCUCUAGUGGAACACAAGUGUUGUUAUGAGUCAACCUGUUGCAACAUGUAACACACUGUGAGCCCUUACUGUGGAUCAUUUGUCUGAUGAUGCAAUGUUGAGUGUAAUAAAUGGUUAUUAAU